rnacentral:lncRNA from 1 species
AGUUUACAUUAAAUGAAAGUUUAAAUAUAUAAUCCUUUUCCAGAACUUGAGAGGCCAAAGCAGGAGAAUCACAAGUUCAAGGCCACCCUGGGCGGCAUAACAAACUCACACUCUUGAAUCCUAUGCUGGAAUCCAUUUAUCACCAACAUGAAGAGCUGGUGGGCCAGCAUUCUUCCUCUUCCUGAAAGUUCCUGGGUUAUGGAAUAACACUAAAGUAAAUACUAUGAUCACACCGACUGACCUAAUUGUGAGGGGCUGACAUCCCACCAGAAGACUCCUGGGACUACUGGGUGACUACUACAUUUUCUUAAUUCUAACCACUCUUUGAUUGAAAGAUGGAUAUGUUUUUAUACUAGC